CCGCCGUCCGCGGCCCCCAAUCUCGGAGCGACACUCCGAGCGCCGGCUCCGCGCCCCCGGUGGCCGCGUCUCCUGGUACUCUCUGCUGGUGGGGGAGGGGCGGGGGGCACCAUGGCCGAAGCGCCUCAGGUGGUGGAGACCGACCCGGACUUCGAGCCGCUGCCUCGGCAGCGCUCCUGCACCUGGCCGCUGCCCAGGCCGGAGUUUAACCAGUCCAACUCGACCACCUCCAGCCCGGCGCCGUCGGGCAGCACGGCCGCCAACCCCGACGCCACGGCGAGCCUGGCCUCGGCGUCCGCUGUCAGCACCGACUUUAUGAGCAACCUGAGCCUGCUAGAAGAGAGCGAGGACUUCGCGCGGGCACCGGGUUGCGUGGCCGUGGCGGCCG
rnacentral:lncRNA from 1 species